UAGAAUUAUGCUGGCAUUGUGUUCU
rnacentral:piRNA from 1 species